ACAGCUGUUUGAUCCUGGCUCAGUAGGUCGUAACAAGGUAACCAGUAUUGGAUCCUCUAGAGUUUGAUCCUGGGUCAAUAAGACUGAACAAGGUAACCAGAAUUGGAUCCCCUACAGUUUGAUCCUGGGUCCCGAAAGGUUCGAAAUUGAAAGGCGGCUUCGGCCCCUACUUAUGGAUGGACCCGCGUCGCAUUAGCUAGUUGGUGAGGUAACGGCUCACCAAGGCAACGAUGCGUAGCCGACCUGAGAGGGUGAUCGGCCACACUGGGACUGAGACACGGCCCAGACUCCUACGGGAGGCAGCAGUAGGGAAUCUUCCGCAAUGGACGAAAGUCUGACGGAGCAACGCCGCGUGAGUGAUGAAGGCUUUCGGGUCGUAAAACUCUGUUGUUAGGGAAGAACAAGUGCUAGUUGAAUAAGCUGGCACCUUGACGGUACCUAACCAGAAAGCCACGGCUAACUACGUGCCAGCAGCCGCGGUAAUACGUAGGUGGCAAGCGUUAUCCGGAAUUAUUGGGCGUAAAGCGCGCGCAGGUGGUUUCUUAAGUCUGAUGUGAAAGCCCACGGCUCAACCGUGGAGGGUCAUUGGAAACUGGGAGACUUGAGUGCAGAAGAGGAAAGUGGAAUUCCAUGUGUAGCGGUGAAAUGCGUAGAGAUAUGGAGGAACACCAGUGGCGAAGGCGACUUUCUGGUCUGUAACUGACACUGAGGCGCGAAAGCGUGGGGAGCAAACAGGAUUAGAUAUCCUGGUAGUCCACGCCGUAAACGAUGAGUGCUAAGUGUUAGAGGGUUUCCGCCCUUUAGUGCUGAAGUUAACGCAUUAAGCACUCCGCCUGGGGAGUACGGCCGCAAGGCUGAAACUCAAAGGAAUUGACGGGGGGUUCUUAAGUUUGAUGUGAAAGCCCACAUUGGAAACUGGGAGACUUGAGUGCGGAAGGGGA
rnacentral:rRNA from 1 species